rnacentral:rRNA from 1 species
UACGAAGGGGGCUAGCGUUGUUCGGAUUUACUGGGCGUAAAGCGCACGUAGGCGGAUCUUUAAGUCAGAGGUGAAAUCCCAAGGCUCAACCUUGGAACUGCCUUUGAUACUGGGGAUCUCGAGUCCGGGAGAGGUGAGUGGCACUGCGAGUGUAGAGGUGAAAUUCGUAGAUAUUCGCAAGAACACCAGUGGCGAAGGCGGCUCACUGGCCCGUUACUGACGCUGAGGCACGAAAGCGUGGGGAGCAAACAGG